AUGGAGGAACAACCUCACUUGUAUGAGGCUGCCGCCUUCCCCACCGAUCCUGAGACCACGGAUGGUGCCGCCGAGGAUGACCACACUGAUGCCACCACUGAUGGUGCCGCCGAGGAUGCCACCACUGAUGAUGGCGGCGCACGCACAGAUGGCAGCCAACCGAAGAGGCAACGGAAGGACCGGCGCCCGAUCGUGCUCCGCACCCUCAAGGAGGAAGUUACUGAAGUGGACUCCAACGGGAAUCCAACGGCGCCCAAACGAAUAGUCAAGGGGUACUCGCUUCAGCUCGGGUGCAUUGUCCGGAGCACCGUCUCGAUCAACACCGAGAACCUGAGGCAUCCUGACCGAGGGAAUUUGCGCAACCUCCUCUUCACGAAGCUGCACGAACGAUACAAGUUCCCCGCUGAAUUUGAAAACACAAGCCUCAAAGGGAAUAAAGUGAACAAUGCUGCCCUCACGAAGAUGAGCAAGGCCCUGUCUACUUGGAAAAGCAAUGUGAAGAGAAUGAUCGAGAAAGGUGAGAGUUAUCAGAAGAUCAAGGAGAAAAAUCCUUCGAUCACCGAAGAUGACUACAACGACUUCAAGAUCAAUUGCUCGAGCACCGCAAGCUCCCAAUCAAGUGAGUGGGGGAAACAAAUGCGGGAGCUGAACAUAGGGGAACACACACUCGGUCCCGGCGGUUACAGAGUGGCGGAGCCUAUAUGGGACAAGGAGGACGCGGACCGUGCCGAGCAAGGCCUACCGCCCUGCUUCGAGAAAUACAUCGGUAACAAGCAGACUAGGAACUAUGUCAGGGCCCGAUACAAGGAGGACCCGAUAACAAAGGAGCUGACCACGGAUCCGAAGACCAGGGCGCUUGAGCUUGUUCUGGUAAGGAAUACACCCCCGCGUAAUUAG
rnacentral:rRNA from 1 species